rnacentral:misc_RNA from 1 species
UUAACACCGACAAUGAAUAAACGCAUAGUUCAAGGUGUGCAAUACUUUGUCAGUAACUGCACGAUACAUGGAUUGCGAUAUCUGGGCAACCGAUGUAACGUUCCAUCAAAGCUUUUUUGGCUUAGCAUGAUAACCUGCUCAUUUGCAACGAUGAUUCACAUUUUGCUGUACAUGGAGAAUGAUGAAACGGUUCAAAUUCACGUCGACACAUCAUAUCUACACUGGAACAACACGUUUCCGGCAGUCUCGAUUUGCUACACAAAAGGGCGGAGUUUGAAUUCGAUAAGUAAAUUUUUGGAUGAUUACUGGGUUAAAACAAACACAACGAAGCCGGCUAAGGCUGGAAAUUAUUACCGGGUUGCGCAAAGUUACCUAUUCGUUAACCCAAACAGCAAUGUCGAAGUUCGGGGUGCUAUUUGUGAGGGCAUGAACGCAACAUGUAACUUGAAUCUGGAAACGAUGCAAAGUAUUUUUUUCCCACAAAAUUGUUCAGAAAUUUUCAUGGAUGUAAAGUUUCUGGGCAAACCUUAUAAUUGCGAUGAUUUUUUCGAGCGGUUUGAUACCGAAAUGGGCCCAUGCUUUGUUGCGAACAGUAUCUACUCCAAAAGUGCAGACAAAUCAUAUGAAAGACUUCCCAUGAAAUACACCACAGAUUGUCCAACGAGAACGUUUGAAUUCCGAUACAAGGAGAUAGAAGCAGUAAGUUUUAUGCUUUAUAUUCAUAGUUCCGAAGAGUUACCAUACCUUCUGAUGCCCUCUGUUCGAUUGAGAAAAUCAGGCGCAAACAUGCAUUAUUCACUGAGUACAAUUGAGAUUUUCAACUAUCCGGACGUCAAGUUUGAACCUAUCGAGAAGAGAGAGUGUCGAUUUCCGUUUGAGAACAUUUCCCAACAUUUGCCUCUCGAAAACAUUUAUCAAACUUUGGAGUACAGUUUCACUAACUGUUUCCUUACUAAGCGUAUCCAAAUAGAACUCGAGAAGUGCAACUGUACGUUACCGACAUCUCCAAAAGAGUAUAAGCAUAAAUAUUGCGACUUUAAUGGUCUCAUCUGUGUAUCUAAAGAAUCCGAAUCCAAAGAUGUUUUUAAACAAAUUUUUAGCCGACAUCUUAGGAUUGACGAAAAAGGUCCUGUUUAACGGAGAACAAAGCUGUAUCCAGUCAUGUUUGGAAAUGGAGAUUAAUUUGAUUGGUGAAAACACGAUAAAACUGCAGGAUGGAAAUGAUCCUGGCCUUGUACAACUUGAAGUGGUGAACGUUCCCACCAGCAG